rnacentral:rRNA from 1 species
UGGGGAAUUUUGGACAAUGGGCGCAAGCCUGAUCCAGCCAUGCCGCGUGCGGGAAGAAGGCCUUCGGGUUGUAAACCGCUUUUGUCAGGGAAGAAAUCUUCUGAGUUAAUACCUCGGGAGGGUGACGGUACCUGAAGAAUAAGCACCGGCUAACUACGUGCCAGCAGCCGCGGUAAUACGUAGGGUGCAAGCGUUAAUCGGAAUUACUGGGCGUAAAGCGUGCGCAGGCGGUUUUGUAAGACAGAGGUGAAAUCCCCGGGCUCAACCUGGGAACUGCCUUUGUGACUGCAAGGCUUGAGUGCGGCAGAGGGGGAUGGAAUUCCGCGUGUAGCAGUGAAAUGCGUAGAUAUGCGGAGGAACACCGAUGGCGAAGGCAAUCCCCUGGGGCCUGCACUGACGCUCAUGCACGAAAGCGUGGGGAGCAAACAGGAUUAGAUACCCUGGUAGUCCACGCCCUAAACGAUGUCAACUGGUUGUUGGGAAGGUUCCUUCUCAGUAACGUAGCUAACGCGUGAAGUUGACCGCCUGGGGAGUACGGCCGCAAGGUUGAAACUUAAAUGAAUUGACGGGGUCAUAGC